rnacentral:misc_RNA from 1 species
UUGCGGGCCUCCACCCAGACCGUGACCUGCACGUCGUCCAGCACCCCCGUCUGCCCGUACACCAGCGUGUACAGGCUCGCCGCCCGCACCGCCACGUACGGCGCGCGGGGAUGCAGCAGCACCACCACCACAAGGACGGCCACGGCGCCCAGCAGCACCACGACCGCCAGCACCAUGAACAGUACCACCACCGCCCACUCCACCGCGCCCGACCGGUGCCUCCUAAAGCUGUACCACCGCGGACGCUGA